rnacentral:rRNA from 1 species
AUUGAACGCUGGCGGCAGGCAUAACACAUGCAAGUCGAACGAGUGGCGGACGGGUGAGUAAUGUCUGGGAAACUGCCUGAUGGAGGGGGAUAACUACUGGAAACGGUAGCUAAUACCGCAUACCAUCAGAUGUGCCCAGAUGGGAUGAGUUUGUUGGUGGGGUAACGGCUCACCAAGGCGACGAUCCCUAGCUGGUCUGAGUGGAUGACAAGAAAAACUGGAACUGAGACACGGUCCAGAGUCAAACGAGAGGAAGCAGUGGGGAAUAGAGGAGAAUGGGCGAAAGGCUGAUGAAGCAAUGCCGCGUGUAUGAAGAAGGCUGUGGGGUAGUAAAGUAGUUUCAGCUGGGCGGCGGUACCCGCAGAAGAAGCACCGGCUAACUCCGUGACAGCAGCCGCGGUAAUAC